rnacentral:rRNA from 1 species
UACAGAGGUCUCAAGCGUUAUGCGGAAUCACUGGGCUUAAAGCGUGUGUAGGUGGGUUUGUAAGUACCUUGUGAAAUCCCAUGGCUCAACCAUGGAACUGCUUGGUAUACUGCGAAUCUUGAGCUGUCUAGAGGUUACUGGAACAAACGGUGGAGCGGUGAAAUGCGUAGAUAUCGUUUGGAACGCCAAUGGUGAAAACAGGUAACUGGGGACACGCUGACACUGAGACACGAAAGCCAGGGGAGCAAACGGG